CCUACGGGGGGCAGCAGUGGGGAAUAUUGGACAAUGGGGCAACCCUGAUCCAGCCAUGCCGCGUGUGUGAAGAAGGCCCUCGGGUUGUAAAGCACUUUCAGUGAGGAAGAACGCCUGGUGGUUAAUACCCAUCAGGAAAGACAUCACUCACAGAAGAAGCACCGGCUAACUCCGUGCCAGCAGCCGCGGUAAUACGGAGGGUGCGAGCGUUAAUCGGAAUUACGGGCGUAAAGCGCGCGUAGGUGGCUUGAUAAGCCGGUUGUGAAAGCCCCGGGCUCAACCUGGGAACGGCAUCCGGAACUGUCAAGCUAGAGUGCAGGAGAGGAAGGUAGAAUUCCCGGUGUAGCGGUGAAAUGCGAAGAGAUCGGGAGGAAUACCAGUGGCGAAGGCGGCCUUCUGGACUGACACUGACACUGAGGUGCGAAAGCGUGGGUAGCAAACAGGAUUAGAUACCCUAGUAGUC
rnacentral:rRNA from 1 species